GAUCCUGGUCAGGGUCGCAUUUGCACCUACCCUAGGGCUUUUUCCGUGGGACUUCACCUGCCAGAAGUUCAUGUAAAAACCACAGUGUUUUAACGCAUGAAAAGAAGGCAGGCAGGCUGGAGUGGCCUUUUCUUGACCGGAGUUCCCACGAGGAGGUGGGAGUUACUUCAGUUUUAUGAUUUAGGAAAUCAAGACUCGGAUUUCUAACACGGAGGAAUGGCUAGGAGCUGGGGGCCAGAGGUCAAAUGGAGUAUGAAGCUGCUUACUGGUUUAAAAAAAAAAAAAAGGUUAACGUUGUGUGUCAAUUAUAAUAAAAUUAUUUUUUAACUAAAACAAGUGAACCCUCCCGAACCUCGGUUUCCUUAUCUCUAGAAUGGAGACGUUGAUAUCUACUUCAAAGUGCUGCAGUGAAGAUGAAAUGGAAUAACGCAUGGGAAGCAUUUAAUCCAGUGCCUGACAUGAGAUCUCUGUUCCUUCUAGAGGAAAGUCUAGCUGCAUUUCUUUGGGGGCCCAAGAUGGGUCGCCGAGCUCAGCAGGAGUCAGCUCAAGUGGACAAUCAUCUCAGUAACAAGAACUCCUCUUCGAUUCUGACUGGAGAGUUGAGAUGUGCUGGACCAGAAUGCCCACACUUGGGCUCCUGAAUGCAUCCUUUGCAGGCUCCCCCUCCCAAGCCGCCGCGCAGGCAAGGAGGCUGGGCAGAUGAUUCCACGAAGGCUUCAAAGUCAGGAAGGAGGGCUUCUGAAGAAAUAGAAGAUCACCGCCUCAGACAGCAGAGCUUGGAUGGAUCAGAUGACGGAGGAGAUAUUCCUGUUAUUCCGGAUCUGGAAGAAGUACAGGAAGAAGACUUCGCUUUGCAGGUGGCAGCCCCCCCCAGCAUCCAGGUCAACCGGGUGAUGACCUACCGUGACCUGGACAAUGACCUCAUGAAGUACUCAGCCUUUCAGACCUUGGAUGGAGAGAUUGACCUGAAGCUCCUCACCAAAGUCCUGGCGCCAGAGCACGAAGUCCGAGAGGUCAGUAGCAGCAGAAGCUCCUUCCUGUGGGCUGCGUCAUCCCUACGACCAGCCGGCUCCCCAGCGAUGACGUCAGCUGGGACUGGGACCGUCUGUACACCGAGGUGUCCUCAGAGCUCCUCACCGAAUGGGACCUGCUGCAGGCGGAGAAGGAGGACCCCGUGGGACAGCCCACGCACACCUGAGCCCUCGGUGGUCAGCAGACUGCUGUCCCCGCACAGAGUAAUUUCUGCUUCCGACGUGAAAAAACGCGAUAAGCCUACAGUUGAAGAAGCUUGCCGCAGCCUCUUGGAAAGAUUCGUCAAGAGUGGAGGAGGGCAGCUUUUAAACAGUCUGACGGGUUUGCUCCCCGCUGUUGAAGAGCAUGAGGGAAAGCUAGACUCAGGGGGAGAGGAAUGGCACCCCUUCUAGAAAGUGUUCGGUUCACAGAGGCCACAGCAUUUCCCGGGAGCACCUGUCUACUUGGAAGCACCUGGAAGCAGGGCAGUGUCGCCCAGCCCAGCCUCCCUAGAAGAGGGCUCGAGAGGUGUGACAGAACGGACAAGCGUCUACAGGUACC